CAUGGUCCCUAGUAUAGCAUUAUACAGCGAAACUGCGAAUGGCUCAUUAUAUAAGUUAUCGUUUAUUUGAUAGUGCCUUACUACUUGGAUAACCGUGGUAAUUCUAGAGCUAAUACAUGCUAAAAAUCCCGACUUCGGAAGGGAUGUAUUUAUUAGAUUAAAAACCAAUGCCCUCUGGGCUCUUUGGUGAUUCAUGAUAACUUCUCGAAUCGCACGGCCUUGCGCCGGCGAUGGCUCAUUCAAAUUUCUUCCCUAUCAACUUUCGAUGUUUGGGUAGUGGCCAAACAUGGUUGCAACGGGUAACGGAGGGUUAGGGCUCGACCCCGGAGAAGGAGCCUGAGAAACGGCUACUACAUCCAAGGAAGGCAGCAGGCGCGCAAAUUACCCAAUCCCGAUUCGGGGAGGUAGUGACAAUAAAUACUGAUACAGGGCUCUUUCGGGUCUUGUAAUCGGAAUGAGUACAAUUUAAAUCCCUUAACGAGGAACAAUUGGAGGGCAAGUCUGGUGCCAGCAGCCGCGGUAAUUCCAGCUCCAAUAGCGUAUAUUAAAGUUGUUGUGGUUAAAAAGCUCGUAGUUGAACCUUGGGCCUGGCUGGCCGGUCCGCCUCACCGCGUGUACUGGUCCGGCCGGGUCUUUCCCUCUGUGGAACCCCAUGCCCUUCACUGGGUGUGGCGGGGAAACAGGACUUUUACUUUGAAAAAAUUAGAGUGCUCCAGGCAGGCCUAUGCUCGAAUACAUUAGCAUGGAAUAAUAGAAUAGGACGUGCGGUUCUAUUUUGUUGGUUUCUAGGACCGCCGUAAUGAUUAAUAGGGACAGUCGGGGGCAUCAGUAUUCAAUUGUCAGAG
rnacentral:rRNA from 1 species